GGCCCGUUAGCUCAGUUGGUCAGAGCGUCGUGCUAAUAACGCGAAGGUCGUGUUUUCGAUUCCCCCACGGGCUA
rnacentral:tRNA from 1 species